rnacentral:rRNA from 1 species
CGUGUAGGCGGACCGGAAAGUCAGGUGUGAAAUCCCUGGGCUCAACCUAGGAACUGCAUCUGAAACUCCCGGUCUAGAGUGUCGGAGAGGGAAGCGGAAUUCCUGGUGUAGAGGUGAAAUUCGUAGAUAUCAGGAGGAACACCGGUGGCGAAGGCGGCUUCCUGGACGACUACUGACGCUGAGACGCGAAAGCGUGGGGAGCAAACA